rnacentral:rRNA from 1 species
UACGGGGGGGGCAAGCGUUGUUCGGAAUUACUGGGCGUAAAGGGCUCGUAGGCGGCCAACUAAGUCGGACGUGAAAUCCCCAGGCUCAACCUGGGAACUGCGUCCGAUACUGGAUGGCUUGAAUUCGGGAGAGGGAUGCAGAAUUCCAGGUGUAGCGGUGAAAUGCGUAGAUAUCUGGAGGAGUACCGGUGGCGAAGGCGGCAUCCUGGACCGACAUUGACGCUGAUGAGCGAAAGCUAGGGGAGCAAACGGG